UACGUAGGGGGCGAGCGUUGUCCGGAAUUACUGGGCGUAAAGCGCGCGUAGGUGGUCCGCCAAGUUCGGCGUGAAAUCUCCAGGCUCAACUUGGAGGGGUCGUCGAAGACUGACGGACUAGGGUCUGGCAGAGGCAGGUAGAAUUCCCGGUGGAGCGGUGAAAUGCGUAGAUAUCGUUUGGAACGCCAAUGGUGAAAACAGACAGCUGGGAGUGUGCUGACGCUGAGACACGAAAGCCAGGGGAGCGAACGGG
rnacentral:rRNA from 1 species